rnacentral:misc_RNA from 1 species
GAUGAAGAACGCAGCGAAAUGCGAUAAGUAGUGUGAAUUGCAGAAUUCAGUGAAUCAUCGAAUCUUUGAACGCACAUUGCGCCUCCUGGUAUUCCGGGAGGCAUGCCUGUUCGAGCGUCAUUAAAAUCACUCAAGCUUAGGUUUACCUAUUGCUUGGUCUUGGAGAUGGAAGCCAAUUUAUUGGAAUCCUCUUCGAAAUUCAAUGGCGAAGACCCUUGCUCUCCCAAGUGUAGUAAUAACUUAUGUCACUGAAGGAAGCGAGAAAUCUUCUGCCGUAACCCCCAUAUUUUCUAUGAUUGACCUCGGAUCAGGUAGGGAUACCCGCUGAACUUAAGCAUAUCAAUAAGCGGGGA